rnacentral:rRNA from 1 species
UGGAAGUAAAAAUCGUAACAAGGUCUCCGUUGGUGAACCAGCGGAGGGAUCAUUACAGAGUUGCAAAACUCCCUAAACCAUUGUGAACGUUACCUAUACCGUUGCUUCGGCGGGCGGCCCCGGGGUUUACCCCCCGGGCGCCCCUGGGCCCCACCGCGGGCGCCCGCCGGAGGUCACCAAACUCUUGAUAAUUUAUGGCCUCUCUGAGUCUUCUGUACUGAAUAAGUCAAAACUUUCAACAACGGAUCUCUUGGUUCUGGCAUCGAUGAAGAACGCAGCGAAAUGCGAUAAGUAAUGUGAAUUGCAGAAUUCAGUGAAUCAUCGAAUCUUUGAACGCACAUUGCGCCCGCCAGCAUUCUGGCGGGCAUGCCUGUUCGAGCGUCAUUUCAACCAUCAAGCCCCCGGGCUUGUGUUGGGGACCUGCGGCUGCCGCAGGCCCUGAAAAGCAGUGGCGGGCUCGCUGUCGCACCGAGCGUAGUAGCAUACAUCUCGCUCUGGUCGCGCCGCGGGUUCCGGCCGUUAAACCACCUUUUUAACCCAAGGUUGACCUCGGAUCAGGUAGGAAGACCCGCUGAACUUAAGCAUAUCAAUAAGCGGAGGAA